rnacentral:rRNA from 1 species
GGAGGUAGUUGCAAUAAAUCACAAUGCGGAACAAUGUUUUGCAAUUGGAUUGAGAACAACGUACAAACCUUAUCGAUAAACAAUUGGAGGGCAAGUCUGGUGCCAGCAGCCGCGGUAAUUCCAGCUCCAAUAGCGUAUAUUAACGUUGUUGCAGUUAAAAAGCUCGUAGUUGAAAUGAAGGGUAGUUGUGUAAUGAAUACAUUCGUGUAUUUUGUUAUUCAACUACCCUCCUUCUAAAUUCGAUAUAUGAGUAUUAAUUUACUUGUAUAUGGUUUUAGACGUUUACUGUGAGAAAAUUAGAGUGUUCAAAGCAGGCAUUUGCUUGAAUAUAUUAGCAUGGAAUAAUCAUGUAUGAUUUUCAUGAUGUAUUUGAUUGGUUUGGUUCAUGAGAAUAAGAUUAAAAGGGACAGUUGGGGGUAUUCAUAUUCAAUAGUCAGAGGUGAAAUUCUCGGAUUUAUGGAAGAUGAACAUGGCCGAAAGC